rnacentral:rRNA from 1 species
AUUGAACGCUGGCGGCAGGCUUAACACAUGCAAGUCGAGCGGAGUGAUGGUGCUUGCACUAUCACUUAGCGGCGGACGGGUGAGUAAUGCUUAGGAAUCUGCCAUUUAGUGGGGGACAACAUUCCGAAAGGAAUGCUAAUACCGCAUACGUCCUACGGGAGAAAGCAGGGGAUCUUCGGACCUUGCGCUAAAUGAUGAGCCUAAGUCGGAUUAGCUAGUUGGUGGGGUAAAGGCCUACCAAGGCGACGAUCUGUAGCGGGUCUGAGAGGAUGAGCCGCCACACUGGGACUGGGACACGGCCCAGACUCCUACGGGAGGCAGCAGUGGGGAAUAUUGGACAAUGGGCGGAAGCCUGAUCCAGCCAUGCCGCGUGUGUGAAGAAGGCCUUUUGGUUGUAAAGCACUUUAAGCGAGGAGGAGGCUCUCCUAGUUAAUACCUAGGAUGAGUGGACGUUACUCGCAGAAUAAGCACCGGCUAACUCUGUGCCAGCCGCCGCCGUAAUAC